CGUGCAGGCGGUUCCGUAAGUCAGACGUGAAAGCUCUUGGCUUAACUGGGAGAGGUCGUUUGAUACUGCGGGGCUUGAGGUCGGGAGAGGGACGUGGAAUUCCCGGUGUAGUGGUGGAAUGCGUAGAUAUCGGGAGGAACACCAGUGGCGAAGGCGGCGUCCUGGCCCGUACCUGACGCUAAGACGCGAAAGCGUGGGAGCGAACG
rnacentral:rRNA from 1 species